AAGUAAAAGUCGUAACAAGGUUUCCGUAGGUGAACCUGCGGAAGGAUCAUUAUUGAAAUAAACCUGAUGGGUUGUUGCUGGUUCUCUAGAGAGCAUGUGCACACCUUGUCAUCUUUAUAUCUCCACCUGUGCACCUUUUGUAGACCUUUCAGGUCUAUGUUGCUUCUUCAUAUACCCAAUGUAUGUUAAUAGAAUGAUGAUGCCUAUAAAUCUAUACAACUUUCAGCAACGGAUCUCUUGGCUCUCGCAUCGAUGAAGAACGCAGCGAAAUGCGAUAAGUAAUGUGAAUUGCAGAAUUCAGUGAAUCAUCGAAUCUUUGAACGCACCUUGCGCUCCUUGGUAUUCCGAGGAGCAUGCCUGUUUGAGUGUCAUUAAUAUAUAUCAAACUUCUCUUCUUUUGAGCAGUUUGGAUGUGGGGGUUUUUGCUGGCCUCUUAAAAGGGUUCAGCUCUCCUGAAAUGCAUUAGCAGAACAAACCUGUUCAUUGGUGUGAUAACUAUCUACGCUAUUGAAUGUAAGGGGCAGUUCAGCUUUCUAACAGUCCCUAGGACAAUUUAUCAUUUAUU
rnacentral:rRNA from 1 species